ACUAAUCAGUACCAUAUUAUAUCAGGUAUGCCAUACUGAUACCAAAUAGACAUACAAUCUCGUACUAUAUCGAUAUUUGGUAUAUCUCAUCAUCUCAUAUUGUACCGCAAACCAAUACCAGAAGAGGAUGAUAGAUAUCCAAUAUCGAGAUGGCGAAUCUUGGUCUCAAGCAUUUAUAUCCAAAGGCCUAGGGAUAGUAAUUAUAGCCAACCC
rnacentral:lncRNA from 1 species